GGAAGUAAAAGUCGUAACAAAGUUUCCGUAGGUGAACCUGCGGAAGGAUCAUUAUUGUAUAACCGAGGUGCGAGGGCUGUCGCUGACCCGAAAGGUCGUGCACGCCCGAGUGCCCUCACACACAUCCAUCUCACCCCUAUGUGCACCACCGCGUGGGUCCCCCUUUGGCUUGUUCGGAGGGGGGCUUACGUUUUCACACAAACUUUGUAUGCAGUGUAGAAUGUAUUUUUUGUUUUUGCGAUCACGCAAUCAAUACAACUUUCAACAACGGAUCUCUUGGCUCUU
rnacentral:misc_RNA from 1 species